UUCCUGUUCAAAUCUUUUGUCAAAAUAAAAGUCACGAAUAGCUUGGUGAUUACAUUAGUUUUACCACAACCGUAAAUGCUGCUGACUAUUGCAUAUAAUGAAAAUCAAAAUUAUGCAUUUCGAUUUUCCUUUCAUGCAAUGUGCACUAUUUACAAUUGUGGUAGAACUAAUGUAAUUAAAAAGCUAUUCGUGACUUGUAUUGUGAGUUGAACAGGAAAGUGAGAACAAAGGCGUUGUUGUAGCCAUUUUGGCCAUGCUACAACGAUGCAGACAGCUCUCUUUGUCACUCCUACAACGUGCUUGUUCAAACAACACAUUUUCUUUCAGGUUUUGUGCUUUAGGCAGAGUGACAUGAUGCAGGAUGGAGUUGCGAAGAGUUCCAGGACAUGGUCAAAGAUGGCUGGAACAGUCGGAUGGAUUUGCAAUCAUGCAAUAAAGGCCCACAUGAGACGCCAUGGUCAAAUGGUUGGAGAUCGUUGAGAGUUUGCAGCUAUUGAUGAAAGUUGUUGUAAUAAUAGCAAGUAUCACCACAGAAGGGCCGGUGCAACAUGGCGACGGAAAAAGUGGGUAUUAAGAAUAUUAGGAGUAGGUGACCGCCAGAAACAUCCUGUCUUGUGGCUGGUGUGGUUAAACAAGUGCGUCCGGGAACCACCGUCAUCAGUGACCAAUGGGGCACUUACAGGAGUGCAUUGACUGCGACAGGCUACAGGCACUUCACAGUGAACCACUGUCAGUAGUUUGCGGAUCCAAACACCUUGCGCGCCUCCCAGUAUGUCAACCCCAGCUUUCUCUGUGGACCAUGCAACUUGGACUUUCCGAGUUUCAUAUAGGACAAUGCAUCUUGCUCUGCAUCUGUAAACCAUGGAUUCAUCUUUUGGACAUUUUCAGGAGAAUGGCUGUGUGUGUGUG